GAUGAACGCUGGCGGCGUGCCUAAUACAUGCAAGUCGAGCGAACAGAUGAGGAGCUUGCUCCUCUGACGUUAGCGGCGGACGGGUGAGUAACACGUGGAUAACCUACCUAUAAGACUGGGAUAACUUCGGGAAACCGGAGCUAAUACCGGAUAAUAUAUUGAACCGCAUGGUUCAAUAGUGAAAGACGGUUUUGCUGUCACUUAUAGAUGGAUCCGCGCCGCAUUAGCUAGUUGGUAAGGUAACGGCUUACCAAGGCAACGAUGCGUAGCCGACCUGAGAGGGUGAUCGGCCACACUGGAACUGAGACACGGUCCAGACUCCUCCGGGAGGCAGCAGUAGGGAAUCUUCCGCAAUGGGCGAAAGCCUGACGGAGCAACGCCGCGUGAGUGAUGAAGGUCUUCGGAUCGUAAACCUCUGUUAUUAGGGAAGAACAAAUGUGUAAGUAACUAUGCACGUCUUGACGGUACCUAAUCAGAAAGCCACGGCUAACUACGUG
rnacentral:rRNA from 1 species